GAUGAACGCUGGCGGCGUGCCUAAUACAUGCAAGUCGAGCGAACAGACGAGGAGCUUGCUCCUCUGACGUUAGCGGCGGACGGGUGAGUAACACGUGGAUAACCUACCUAUAAGACUGGGAUAACUUCGGGAAACCGGAGCUAAUACCGGAUAAUAUAUUGAACCGCAUGGUUCAAUAGUGAAAGACGGUUUUGCCGUCACUUAUAGAUGGAUCCGCGCCGCAUUAGCUAGCUGGUAAGGUAACGGCUUACCAAGGCAACGAUGCGUAGCCGACCUGAGAGGGUGAUCGGCCACACUGGAACUGAGACACGGUCCAGACUCCUACGGGAGGCAGCAGUAGGGAAUCUUCCGCAGUGGGCGAAAGCCUGACGGAGCAACGCCGCGUGAGUGAUGAAGGUCUUCGGAUCGUAAAACUCUGUUAUUAGGGAAGAACAAAUGUGUAAGUAACUAUGCACGUCUUGACGGUACCUAAUCAGAAAGCCACGGCUAACUACGUG
rnacentral:rRNA from 1 species